rnacentral:rRNA from 1 species
UACGGAGGGGGCUAGCGUUGUUCGGAAUUACUGGGCAUAAAGCGCACGUAGGUGGCGGCGUAAGUCGGGUGUGAAAUCCCUCGGCCUAACCGAGGAACUGCGCCCGAUACUGCGUUGCUUGAGGGUCAAAGGGGUGCAUGGAAUUCCCGGUGGAGCGGUGAAAUGCGCAGAUAUCAGGAGGAACACCGGUGGCGAAGGCGGUUCUCUGGGCCUGUACUGACGCUGAGGAACGAAAGCGUGGGGAGCGAACAGG